CCUACGGGAGGCUGCAGUGAGGAAUAUUGGUCAAUGGCCGGAAGGCUGAACCAGCCAUGCCGCGUGAAGGUCAGUGCCCUAUGGGCGUUAAACUUCUUUUGUGCGGGAGCAAUAAUGGUCACGUGUGGCCAGACGAGAGUACCGUACGAAUAAGCAUCGGCUAACUCCGUGCCAGCAGCCGCGGGAAUACGGGGGAUGCAAGCGUUAUCCGGAUUUGUUGGGUUUAAAGGGUGCGUUGGCAGGCAGGUAAGUCAGCGCUGAAAUGCCCCCGGUCAACGGGGUGAAGUGCCAUUGAUACUGGCUUGCUGGAAUGCGGAAGCCGUAGGAGGAAUGUGUGGUGUAGCGGUGAAAUGCAUAGAUAUCACACAGAACACCGAUUGCGAAGGCAUCUCACGAAUCCGCGAUUGACGCUGAUGCACGAAAGCGUGGGUAUCAAACAGGAUUAGAUACUCCUGUAGUC
rnacentral:rRNA from 1 species